rnacentral:rRNA from 1 species
UACGUAGGGUCCGAGCGUUGUCCGGAAUUACUGGGCGUAAAGAGCUCGUAGGUGGUUUGUCGCGUUGUUCGUGAAAACUCACAGCUCAACUGUGGGCGUGCGGGCGAUACGGGCAGACUGGAGUACUGCAGGGGAGACUGGAAUUCCUGGUGUAGCGGUGGAAUGCGCAGAUAUCAGGAGGAACACCGGUGGCGAAGGCGGGUCUCUGGGCAGUAAC